CAUUAGCGUAUACUAAAGUUGCUGCGGUUAAAAAGCUCGUAGUUGGAUUUUGGAAGUACACUCGAGAGGGUGCAUGGAGGGAGAGGGUAUUGGGAAGGUGGGCGCUACUAGUUAGUGUCGUGCUUCCUUCCUCUUGCUUGCUUUCGCUAUCGUGUAGAUAGCAGUGUCAGUUUGCGUUUCUGUGGUUUUGAUUAAUUGCGGAUUUAUCGCGCUGUCGAAUUUACUUUGAAAAAAGAGGAGCGUUCAAAGCAGGCCUUUUUGUUGCGGCCGUUGAACAUUUUAGCAUGGGAUAAUGGAAGAGGACUUUUUGUCCAUUUUGUUGGUUUUCAGACAAGAAGUAAUGAUUGAGAGGGACAGUUGGGAUCUUCGUAUUCAGUUGUCAGAGGUGAAAUUCUUGGAUUAUCGGAAGACGAACUUCUGCGAAAGCAUUGAUCAAGGAUGUUUUCAUUAA
rnacentral:rRNA from 1 species